ACGAUCAUACCAGCACUAAUGCACCAUAUCCCAUCAGAACUCAACAGUGAACAGUCCUUGGGCAAGAGUAUUAUUAGGAUGGGUGACCCCCUGUGCGGUCAUU